rnacentral:rRNA from 1 species
GAUGAACGCUGGCGGCGUGCUUAACACAUGCAAGUCGAACGAAGCACCUUGAUUUGUUUCUUCGGAUGAAGAUCUUGGUGACUGAGUGGCGGACGGGUGAGUAACGCGUGGGUAACCUGCCUCAUACAGGGGGAUAACAGUUAGAAAUGACUGCUAAUACCGCAUAAGACCACAGCACCGCAUGGUGCAGGGGUAAAAACUCCGGUGGUAUGAGAUGGACCCGCGUCUGAUUAGGUAGUUGGUGGGGUAACGGCCUACCAAGCCGACGAUCAGUAGCCGAGCAGAGAGGGUGACCGGCCACAUUGGGACUGAGACACGGCCCAAACUCCUACGGGAGGCAGCAGUGGGGAAUAUUGCACAAUGGGGGAAACCCUGAUGCAGCGACGCCGCGUGAGCGAUGAAGUAUUUCGGGAUGUAAAGCUCUAUCAGCAGGGAAGAAAAUGACGGUACCUGACUAAGAAGCACCGGCUAAAUACGUG